UGGAAUAGGACCCUGUCCUCCUAUUUUCAGUUGGUUUUGGCAGCGCGAGGACUAGGGUAAUGAUUAAUAGGGAUAGUUGGGGGCAUUAAUAUUUAAUUGUCAGAGGUGAAAUUCUUGGAUUUAUGAAAGAUUAACUUCUGCGAAAGCAUCUGCCAAGGAUGUUUUCAUUAAUCAAGAACGAAAGUUAGGGGAUCAAAAACGAUCACAUACCGUCGUAUUCUUAACCAUAAACGAUGCCGACCAGCGAUUAAGAGACGUUGAAUACAAAACACCACCAUCGGCGCGGCCGUCCUUGGCGUCUGUCCCUUUCAACGGGGGCAUGGCGCGAGGGCGGUUU
rnacentral:rRNA from 1 species